UACGUAGGGUGCAAGCGUUGUCCGGAAUUAUUGGGCGUAAAGAGCUCGUAGGCGGUUUGUCGCGUCUGCUGUGAAAACUCGAGGCUCAACCUCGAGACGCCGAUGGAAACCAUCUGACUAGAGUCCGGAAGAGGAGAGUGGAAUUCCCGGUGUAGCGGUGAAAUGCGCAGAUAUCGGGAGGAACACCAGUGCGAAGGCGACUACCUGGCCUGUUCUUGACGCUGACGGCG
rnacentral:rRNA from 1 species